UACGGAGGGGGCUAGCGUUGUUCGGAAUUACUGGGCGUAAAGCGUGCGUAGACGGUUAUUUAAGUCGGGUGUGAAAGCCCCGGGCUCAACCUGGGAAUUGCAUUCGAGACUGAAUAGCUAGGGUACGGUAGAGGGAAGCGGAAUUUCCGGUGUAGCGGUGAAAUGCGUAGAUAUCGGAAGGAACAUCAGUGGCGAAAGCGGCUUCCUGGACCAGCACCGACGUUCAGGCACGAAAGCGUGGGGAGCGAACAGG
rnacentral:rRNA from 1 species